GGGCAAGACCGCCACCACCACAAGGGAGAUGCACAAAGCCACACCCCACGGAGGGAAGCCCACCAGCUUCUCCCGAGCCUGCACCGCACACCACUCUUAACGUUAAAACACAAGAGGAACGCUGGGAAACAAACAUUGAGGCAACAUAAGAUUGUGAAUUGAUGAAUGCAGGCAACGAGGCUCCCGACCUGCUCUUGGUUCCAGGCACUGUAACUGGGCGGCGUCAUGAUGAGCUGGACGAAGCUGGAGCCAAGCAGCACCAGCAGCAGCGUGGGCGUUAUGAAUUUCCACAUGUAGUAGUAGAAGCGGUACGGCUUGAAGCCCAGCAUGUCUUCCAGGUCCGCAAAAAACCUGACAGGACCACAUCACAGAACCAGGCAAUGGCCAAGUUCUCCAGGAUGACCACGAUGAGCAGCGGCAGCGUGGCCGAGUAGUCAUCGAACAUGGUCACAAAGUAGUUGCCCGAACGCUGCACGAACACCAGGCCGAGGGAGAAGGCCAGCACGCAGCAGCCCACUGCACCACGAGAGAGAAGGAGCUCCUUGCGCACUUUAAAGGUGUCGAUGAGCGGCGUGAGGAUGCCCUCGAUGGUGCCGAACAUGCUGCCCAGGCCCAAGUUGAUCAGCAUGAGGAAGAACAUGACGGACCAGAAUGGAGAGGCCGGGAAAUGCGUCAUGGCCUCGGUGAAGGCAAUGAAUGCCAGGCCUGUGCCCUGCACCGCCUGCAAGGAGGGAGGGAGGGAGGGAGGGCAGAGUGCGGGUGGGUAACCCCCAGUGGAUGCUUAGCACUUACUCCCAAAAUUAACAUUUUGCUAUUUUUCUUGGAAAAAUGCAACUUUUUCAUGAAAAAUAUGA